CCUACGGGGGGCAGCAGUGAGGAAUAUUGGUCAAUGGCCGAGAGGCUGAACCAGCCAAGUCGCGUGAGGGAAGACGGCCCUACGGGUUGUAAACCUCUUUUGUCGGGGAGCAAAGCGAGUCACGUGUGACUCAUUGAGAGUACCCGAAGAAAAAGCAUCGGCUAACUCCGUGCCAGCAGCCGCGGUAAUACAGAGGAUGCGAGCGUUAUCCGGAUUUAUUGGGUUUAAAGGGUGCGCAGGCGGAGGUGCAAGUCAGCGGUCAAAUUGCGGGGCUCAACCCCGUACUGCCGUUGAAACUGCAUCCCUGGAGUGCGCGAGAAGUAUGCGGAAUGCGUGGUGUAGCGGUGAAAUGCAUAGAUAUCAGGAGGAACACCGGCGGCGAAGGCGGCCUGCUGGACUGAAACUGACGUUGAGGCUCGAAAGCGUGGGGAGCAAACAGGAUUAGAUACCCUUGUAGUC
rnacentral:rRNA from 1 species